GACGAACGCUGGCGGCGUGCCUAAUACAUGCAAGUCGAGCGCAGGAAGCCGUCUGAACCCUUCGGGGGGACGACGGUGGAAUGAGCGGCGGACGGGUGAGUAACACGUAAAGAACCUGCCCAUAGGUCUGGGAUAACCACGAGAAAUCGGGGCUAAUACCGGAUGUGUCAUCGGACCGCAUGGUCCGCUGAUGAAAGGCGCUCCGGCGUCGCCCAUGGAUGGCUUUGCGGUGCAUUAGCUAGUUGGUGGGGUAACGGCCCACCAAGGCGACGAUGCAUAGCCGACCUGAGAGGGUGAUCGGCCACACUGGGACUGAGACACGGCCCAGACUCCUACGGGAGGCAGCAGUAGGGAAUCUUCCACAAUGGACGAAAGUCUGAUGGAGCAACGCCGCGUGAACGAUGAAGGCUUUCGGGUCGUAAAGUUCUGUUGUAAGGGAAGAACAAGUGCCGCAGGCAAUGGCGGCACCUUGACGGUACCUUGCGAGAAAGCCACGGCUAACUACGUGCCAGCCGCCGCAGUAA
rnacentral:rRNA from 1 species